rnacentral:tRNA from 1 species
GGAGAGAUGCUGGAGUGAGUGACCGAACCCGUCCCGAAAACGGGAGUAGGGCAACGCUACCGGGGGUUCAAAUCCCCCCGUCUCUCCA